rnacentral:rRNA from 1 species
GAUGAACGCUGUCGGCGUGCCUAAUACAUGCCAGUCGAGCGAACGGACGAGAAGCUUGCUUCUCUGAUGUUAGCGGCGGACGGGUGAGUAACACGUGGAUAACCUACCUAUAAGACUGGGAUAACUUCGGGAAACCGGAGCUAAUACCGGAUGAUAUUUUGAACCGCAUGGUUCAAAAGUGAAAGACGGUCUUGCUGUCACUUAUAGAUGGAUCCGCGCUGCAUUAGCUAGUUGGUAAGGUAACGGCUUACCAAGGCAACGAUGCAUAGCCGACCUGAGAGGGUGAUCGGCCACACUGGAACUGAGACACGGUCCAGACUCCUACGGGAGGCAGCAGUAGGGAAUCUUCCGCAAUGGGCGAAAGCCUGACGGAGCAACGCCGCGUGAGUGAUGAAGGUCUUCGGAUCGUAAAACUCUGUUAUUAGGGAAGAACAUAUGUGUAAGUAACUGUGCACAUCUUGACGGUACCUAAUCAGAAAGCCACGGCUAACUACGUG